UACGUAGGGUGCGAGCGUUAAUCGGAAUUACUGGGCGUAAAGCGUGCGUAGGCGGUUCGUUAAGUUCGUUGUGAAAGCCCCGGGCUCAACCUGGGAAUGGCAAUGGAAACUGGCGGGCUUGAGUAUGGCAGAGGGGGGUGGAAUUCCGCGUGUAGCAGUGAAAUGCAUUGAGAUCGGAAAGAACACCAACGGCGAAAGCACUCUGCUGGGCCGACACUGACACUGAGAGACGAAAGCUAGGGGAGCAAAUGGG
rnacentral:rRNA from 1 species